UACGUAGGGGGCAAGCGUUGUCCGGAUUUAUUGGGCGUAAAGAGCGUGUAGGCGGCUUUACAGGUCCGUUGUGAAAACUCGAGGCUCAACCUCGAGACGCCGGUGGAAACCGUAAGGCUAGAGUCCGGAAGAGGAGAGUGGAAUUCCUGGUGGUAGCGGUGAAAUGCGCAGAUAUCAGGAAGAACACCCGUGGCGAAGGCGGCUCUCUGGGCCACUACUGACGCUGAGAAGCGAAAGCAUGGGGAGCGAACAGG
rnacentral:rRNA from 1 species